AAUCCUGUCAUUACUUGCAUUAUUGCCAUCUUCAUACUUUGCACCUUGCAAUGAGUAAGCUUGAGUGUAAUCUCCACCACCGGUGCCGAACUCACUGCCUAAACCGACUGAACAUUUUGGACUCACUGGAUUAGAGGAGUUCCUCCUACUUGAAGCCAACAAUGCUGUUACGUCAUUGUUCACAUUGUUAGCCCUCUUUUGCUGUUGAUUUUCAUCUGCAUUUUUAUUCCACACCAUAUCAGCCAAUUCAUCGGUGGCUUCACCGCUCGUCACGGCAAGAAGGCGUUGAGGAGAUGUUGAUG
rnacentral:misc_RNA from 1 species